rnacentral:rRNA from 1 species
AUACGUAUGUCGCAAGCGUUAUCCGGAUUUAUUGGGCGUAAAGCGCGUCUAGGCGGCUUAGUAAGUCUGAUGUGAAAAUGCGGGGCUCAACCCCGUAUUGCGUUGGAAACUGCUAAACUAGAGUACUGGAGAGGUAGGCGGAACUACAAGUGUAGAGGUGAAAUUCGUAGAUAUUUGUAGGAAUGCCGAUGGGGAAGCCAGCCUACUGGACAGAUACUGACGCUAAAGCGCGAAAGCGUGGGUAGCAAACAGGAUUAGAUACCCUGGUAGUCCACGCCGUAAACGAUGAUUACUAGGUGUUGGGGGUCGAACCUCAGCGCCCAAGCUAACGCGAUAAGUAAUCCGCCUGGGGAGUACGUACGCAAGUAUGAAACUUAAAUGAAUCGGCGGGG